GACUUAGCUCAGUGGUUCCGCCGCCUGCCUCGCAAGCUCAAGGUCCCGAGUUCAAUCCCCGAUACCAAAGGAAAAAAAAAAAAAAAAAAAAAAAAAAUAAUUGGGUAUACAAUUGACGUUUCUCGAGAAAAUCCUAAACAUAAAUAUACAGAGAAAAUCCAAACAACAAUACGCUAAACUUGUCUCAAGUAACUCAACAUGACUGUGUUUUAGCAGUUUAAACAGCAUAAUGACAAAUCCAAUUGAGCUCUGGUUGCCUGCUUUGCACAGAGUGAAAAGGCAAGAAGAAAGGAGGGCUGGAAAACCACACUUUUGGUUAGCACAGAGAUGAGAAGAUCCUGGUUCUCCUCGCCCAAUUCUUAAACUUUGGUUACAAACCAUUUCAUUAUUUCAGUUUGUACAGACAUGAUGGGAGUCUGGUGUUCAUUGAGAAGGGAAGUAAUUCACCACUGAAAGUUUUGUUGGCUGUAAUAAAACCUAAUGAGAAAAUGAGAUGCAAAGAGUCUUAGUUUAGAGUUCAUUGGAAUGACAAGGCUUUAGUCUGGGGGAAAUAUUGGGAAUUACUUCUUUUAAGCACCACCUUCUUUUCUGGAAAGCUAGAGUAACAAUGCCCCAGGGCAACAUGGGGUUACUCAGUGUAUUUCUGCCCUUCCCUUCUAUUUUAUAGUUCAGACCCUUGGGCCUUGAAGACUUUUUUUUUCCUUCAUAGAAACAGUACAAAAAUGAAAGAUCAAGAAGCUAUGAACAAAUCUUUGUAUGUUGUAUUUCAUUUAAAACUACUUGGGGUAAGGGACACAGAGCCAGGGAAUCAUUAAUGUUGGGAUUCCAGAAUUUAAAAAAAAGAAAGAAAAAACCACAAACACACACAUGUGGCAAAUGCUGUUCCUUUUGAAAAAUCUGCCAAGAGUUUUCUUUGAACAUUCUUUAAGUAUGUUGCAGGUAAAUUUUUUUGGGAAAAAAGUGUCAGUAUAACAAGAAACAACCAAAUCUCAUCCUUGAAUGGAGCAUACCCACUAACUGGGUUGAAAUAUGGGAGAUCAAGACAAUAAGUAAGUGCUGAUCAUAAUUUAAAACAGGAUAGUCAGAUUUCAGCACACAAAAUUAGGAAAUUAUGGUGAAUUGGAUUCUUGGAGAAAGAAAGUUGAUUAAGAAAAUAUUUUAAAGGGCUGGG
rnacentral:lncRNA from 1 species